rnacentral:lncRNA from 1 species
UUUCUUUUUGUUUGCUGCCUUCCGUAGAAGAUGUGGCUUGCUCAUGCUUGACUUCUGCCAUGGUUGUGAGGCCUCCCCAGCCAUGUGGAACUGUUUUCAGGUGCUGGUUCCAUGGCUCUUCCUGAGCCGAAAAUAAGGAAACUCCAUAGACCUUGUCCACUGGAACUCGUUCCCAUCUACCCUCCACUCUAUCCAGGGUGAUGGAUCUCUGCAGUAAGUGGAAGAGUUCUUCAUGGCCCCCAAGGUUAUAUCCAUCUAGAACUUCAGCACGUAAUUUCAUCUGGAAAUAGUGCCUUUGCGGAUAUAAGUUAGGUAAAACUGAAGAUGAGAUCAUACUGGAUUAGGAUGGGAUCUAAAUCCAAUGAAAAUGUCUUCAUAAAAAACAGGAAAGAACCCAUAGAAACACAAGGAAGAAGGUCAUGUGAAGAUGGAGGCAGAGAUUGGAGGGAUGCAGCCACCGGCCCAGGAAUGCCAGCAGCCACCCAGAAGCUGGAAGGAAAUGAGGGAUUCUCUCCUAGAACCUUUAGAGAGAACAUGGUCCUGUGAACAGCUUGAUUUUGGACUUGCCCAUAGCUUGUAUACUCUUACUUUGGAUACAAUUUUAUCCAAACUUGGCUAAACAGUUUCUCAGCCUAUGGAAAAUUUAAAAUGGAGAAGAUUCAACUCGAUUCUUACAGAUUCAAAGCAAGAAAAUGAUGGGAACAUAGGAGGAGACCAAGAAAGCCUAUAAAAAGCAAAAAUAUGAAGUGAACAUUGUGGUAGCUUUAAGAUGUUUAGUGUAGCUGCAGGCACCCUAUACACAUGAAAACCCCCAAGGGGAAUCCCCAUAUCACAGUGUAGUGUGAUAUUUGACAUUCGUGAUCAUCUAGAGAUGUACAGAAAAGGUGAAUCUGUGUUCUGUAUAUUCUGCCUAAGGCAAAGAAAUGUUUAGCUCUCUUUAAAAUAGUUCCAUAAUUUUUUCUAAAAAGCUUUGCUUGAAAACUGUAAGCUUCCCAUAUCUGGAGCAUUUCACUUUAAAUAUUUGGAUAAAUAUGUUAUCUUCUUACUUGGACAUUUCAUGUGUUUAGGGAUUGUCUUCUAAAUUCUUCCUAAUUCAUAUAGCUGCUAACACUUCCCGCAGAGCUAAACCAUUACAGAUAUGAAAUAAAGACCUAUUGAUUUGACUUACUUUUACUUGUAAAACCUUCUGAGUGUUAUAACCUCAUUUAAUCUUUCAGCAUUUACAGUUUCAAGAGUUUGUGUCACAAUUAGAAGAAUUCAGCUGCACCUCCAAGUGACAGCAGUUGCUCUGGUUGGUGGGUGAUCUCAGGAGGCUUGAGAAUUGCUUUGUCUGUGAGGGAAGUAAGACAUUUUCAGAGCCCCACUUUAGAAGGUGUGAACUGGCUAGAUAAUGAACCCCAGGGCUAACGCUGCUAUAGCAGUGGGAAGGAGGUGAUGGGUUUUCAGUUUGGACCUCAAACAUCAAUACCCUCCUGGUACGGGGAGGAACAGAGUCCCUCCUUUACUUCUCCAUUAGAAAGAAUGAGAUGGCAAGACAAUGAAACAGGCAAAGUGAACAGAGAUGCAAGACAAAAUUCAGGUGAGAGAGCCAGAGCAUCACUCAGCCAUUCCUGACAUGUAAAACAGGCAACUAGAAAUUUGCAGAAAGGAAGCGAAGUCUCCAUAAAGAUGUUUUUAAAGUGAGCUUGAAGUAUUUGGAGACAAUUCAGUGUUACAUAAAAUCUGCAAAUCUCUGGAUAAAGAAGCAGAGAUCCCAGCAUGGGACAAAUGGAGCCUCAAAAGUGGGAAGAAGACAGAGAAGACCAGGGCAGAAUGCAUCUCUUCCUUUCUCUUGGCUUUCCUGGAUAAGGACUGCAUCAUUCCUGUGGAAGGACAGGCCAUCAGCUCCGAAACACUGUAUGUAUUUUCCAGUAUAUACUGCUAGCUGUGUGAUGUUGGGAAAAUUUGUUACCCUGUCUAACCCCCACUUCCCUCAUCUGUAAAAUGGAAAUAAUGAUAGUACCUACCUAUCUCAUAGGUGGCAACUACAAGGGGCAGCACACUCAGGGAAUUAAGGAAGUUUCAGUGAACAUCAACUUUAUGAACACAGUGUUCAUAAAGGCAGGUCAGUGCAGUGGUUUGGGAGCCAGGAGAAGCACGUGGGCCGGAGUGUGCCUGCAGGAGACAAGGUCAGAGAUGUUGCUAAUAAUGGAGAAUAAAGGAUGCAUUCUC